ensembl:lncRNA
GGCUCCCGGCUCGCUCCCCGGGCUGCCGCGUUGUGCACGCAGGGGAGCCCAGGCCCGGAUAUGGAGAGUCUCUCACAGCGCGGUGGCUAAGCUGAGUGGGGUGGUGGUCGGGGGUGAGCAGAGACCUUCAGCUGAGCACACUGUUCUCUGAAGGGAGAAGUGGUGGAUCCUAUGGGGAUUAGGUGUUCCUAUCAGAAACCUUUACAGCUGCUUGCUUUUUAAAGCUUAUGUAGGGUUAGUUAUGCCUGAUUUAACAGCCUGAGGGUUAGAGAGCUUGUCUAGAAAUCAGGAGGACAGCUCUCAGCUUGUCUCGGCCUAAAGGGAGUCAGACCUGUAUCUUCACAGAGCCUGACCUCACUGUCUCUGGAAUAGGCUCAGCAGAGUAUGUAUUCUUGCCCUCAGCAAAAGCUAGACCACAGUGCAUCAAAGGACAUGCAUGCUGCAUCAUAGCCAGCAGCGAUGGCAGUCAGACAGAAACUCCAGGUCCAAGUUCCUUAUUGUCAAGUUGUUUAUAGACUCUAUAUUUAGCAGUACUUAGAUGAAAACCGGAGAUACUCCUAAACAAAUAUCUCUGGCAUUUUUCUCAAAGGUCUUUGGUUGUCUUCUGCAACGCAACAUGACUAAGGCGGAGAUUUUCAUCUUUGCCUUGAAAUCUCCCUUUCCCUAGUCACUGUGAAAAAUACUAUGAUCCUGCUUGUUAUUCAAGUUUAACUGUUGCGUGCAUACUUCAAAUCAUACUGCCCUGCAGGGGUGCUUCCAUCCAGACAGGGAUGUAAUGAGCAAGGCAAGAGGGAUGUCCUGCUGACAAGAGCCCUGAUGAAGAAGCCCAGAGUAGACACAGAGCUGUCAUUGCCACUUGCUCCUGAAUAACACUGAGAGUGGGAAAGUAGGAUAUCAUAAAAAUGAAAGCUGUUACCAUCACUUGCUUCCUUUUCUCUCCUUCUCACCCUCCAUAGACUUUGUGGCAACAGUGACCAGAGGUGGCUGUAAGGACAUAGUGACUGGCUGUAGAACUGUGAUUCUGUUGCAUGAGGGAACCGACAGAGUGAAGACAAUUCCAGGGAGAUGGACAGCUCAAGCAAGUGAAUGGGAGAAACAGUUCUCAUCCAGGUAGUCUCUAGCUGUCUCUGUAUUGUAUGUUCAAGUAGAGAUGUGAAAGGGAAAUGACAUGAAGAGAGGCAAGGAGAUAAGUGAAAUUACCUGCAUGUUUCAUGAGUUUUGUCCUUGCACACUGCACUUUUUUUGAUAGGGACCAUUAGCUGUUAUUAUCAAUCAGCUGCUCUGACUGCAUAACUAUUUUUCCCCCCUUGGCUACACUGGCAAGAUUAAUACAGGUCAUUGUUUGUGUUUGACACUUGAUAUUGUCCAUUUAAUUGUACGGAAAUGAGAAGCAGCAGCUAUGCCAACAUUUUAUUAUUAAAGUACCUGAAAACAGUGAGUAAUCUACAGAGUUCAAUUAUAGGCAGCCCCAUGUCCCCAAGCCAGCAGUCGCAGAGAUUUACAUUCUAAUUGAUAUUUUAUUCAGUAAAGGAAAAUAAAAGCACUCAGCUACCUCA